GUUUUAAUUAAUUUAGGAAUAUUUUAUAUUUACAAUUCUAUAAAAACAAUCAAUGAUGACUCUCUUUACAAUUCUAUAAGUGUGUUAUAAAGUUAUCAAAUAAUAUUAUAUUUGUUAUAUGCAAAGGGGAACAUAUAUUGCUAGACUUAUGAAGUUUAUUUAUGUUAUGAUCUACUUUCUUUUCUUAUUUCUUGUUGCAACAAACAGUAAACUUGACUGUCGUAAUCACCUUGACUGUAAACAUAUUAAGUGUAAGCCUGGUUGGUUUGCGCAAUGUAGUUAUACUAAUUGGUGUAGAUGUGUCCCUGCAUCUUCAAAAUCUUGGAGUACAGGACCCAAGAGAGUGCACAAACUUUUAUAGGGGAAAAUGCUUUCUGGCACUAGCAAAAGAUAUAUUCCCUCCGUGACAAUAUAUAAACAAAAAUUACCUUUUUAGGUUUAUUGCAUAAUUAAUGUAUCUGACCUAUAAUAUAGACCAAAUACAUUUAAUAUACAAUGAACCUAAAAAGAUGAUUUUUACUUAUAUAUUAUCACGAAGGGUGUAUGAAACAUGACAUAUGAUAAGUCAUUUAAUACUUGUAUAAUAAGUCAUUUAAUACUUGUAUUUGUGUUAUGAGAGUGGAAGACAAUGUAGAUAGUCUUCCACUCUCUUAAUUUCUCCUAUUGUAACUAAAAUAUGCUCUUAUAUUUAUUUACUUUCUAUGAUUGUAGAUGUAUCAAAAUAUCUUUAAGUAAUAAAAUAAUAUGUAUCCACAGGAUAUUGUUUCAA